CCCGUUCUACUUCUCAUGUAAAACAUUGUGACUGAACGUUGUACUUUGGAUGAGAUGCGUGAGAUUUGUUGCGCCUCUUGUUAGAUAGAAAGGAAGCCCUAUUUGUCUCACUUUAUUGAGGUAAAUGCCAGUAUCUCUCAAUUUUAGUUGUCCUAGAAAUGAACAGGCAAGGUGCACUAAUUUUGAAUGUCAAGUUGGAAAACUCCAUUUUUUAUUUUUUAUUUUUAGAAAAGGAGGAUGACACCCGGCCUCUGCAUUUGGUCGAUGCAUACGGCCACUUUAUUAAUUAUUCUCACAAGACCUUACAAAGCCAUACAACAGCAAAACUAAAGCCACCGUCUAAGCAACAACUGUCGCUACACCUAUCCAAUUGAUGAAGCGGCGCAGAUAGUUUGGGCCUAAUACUAAACAGACAUCGCAGCAAAACCUAACCAUCUAAGACCUGAGGUCCCAACCAGGACGCUUGCCGGGUAUGGGGCAUCUACCAGUCUGAUGCACUCCUCAACCAGGACGCCUGUCGGGUAUGGGGCACCUACCAGUCCGACGCACUCAACCAGGACGCUUGCCGGGUACGAGGCCGCCGUAGCCACCUGCCAUCAAUCCAUCUUCAGAGUUGUACUGUUGCAUGUACCGUGCCAGGUCUCUCUGUCAUCGACGCCACCACGACGCCCGAUAGCGUCGUCCUCCUGCGCGAGUCCAUCCUCCCACAGCGAACUCUGAAUCUGCAUUGCACCACGCCGUCAAGAUCCGUCGCCAUCAGUGUGUAGGAUGAAGCACCGCUCCACCAAAGAAUCCGUCCUUUGGUCCCUCGAUCACGUGUGUACCUCCAAGAAUGACGCCCCCAAAGGAAGGAACGACACCAGAGCGCCGCAGUCACCCGAUCAUCCGAUCUGGGGUUUCCCCCGUAGGUAGCAGAGAGUGGCCUUGAACUUCUCCACGGCGAUGCCUUCAAGAAGGGAACGACGCAGAUAGCGCCACCACCUCUGGCCUUAGCAAGAGCCGAAGUCAAGUUUUCACCCAGAUUAGUUCGAAGGUAUCCAACUCUCGUGCCCGGGCCGCCGUCACCACCAGCACCACCAGGCAGACCCUGGAGUACCGGCAUAUCAGCGAGCCGCCGGCACCACCGCAUCCAGAUCACCGGCCACGCCGGGCCGCCGCCAUCCCCCGCGCCGUCCGGGUCAGAGACGGAGCCGCCGACCGCGCACAGGGACCGCCGCCGCCUGCACACGCCAGAGUGCCUUCGAGAGCCCAGCGCCCGCCACCGCUUGCCGAAGCCAACCGCCCUAUAGGAAAACUCCAAUUUGUCCUAUAGAAAUGGAUAGGCAAGGUGCAAUCCCUUUGCAUGAAAGGUUUC
rnacentral:lncRNA from 1 species